AAGGAGCACCACGAAAUGGGGUGCGCACUGGGCGCAUUCCGAGCCGUGAGGAGUUCUCGCCUGUAGUGGGUGGGGGCUGGGUGCACAACAACGUUGAAAACAAGAUCGCCGGCACACUGUUGGGUCCUGAGGCAACACCUGUGUGUUGUCGCCUCGCUUGGUGGUGGGGUGUGGUGUUUGAGUUGUGGAUAGUGGUUGCGAGCAUC
rnacentral:misc_RNA from 1 species